AGGGCUUUAGCCAAGCGGUAAGGCAGCAGGUUCUGACCCUGCCAUUCACUAGUUCGAAUCCAGUAAGCCCUG
rnacentral:tRNA from 1 species